GACAUCUUGUUAAAAUGCAGAUUCUGAUUCAGUAGCUCUGGGGUGAGGCUUGAUAUUCUGCAUUUCUAACAAGCUC
rnacentral:miRNA from 10 species